UGGGGGAUAUUGCACAAUGGGCGAAAGCCUGAUGCAGCGACGCCGCGUGGGGGAUGAAGGCCUUCGGGUUGUAAACUUCUUUUGCUCUGAACAAGGCAUGCUAAUGGGUGUGUUGAGUGUAGGGGUUGAUUAGCGCCGGCUAACUACGUGCCAGCAGCCGCGGUAAUACGUAGGGCGCGAGCGUUGUCCGGAAUUAUUGGGCGUAAAGGGCUUGUAGGUGGCUGGUUGCGUCUGUCGUGAAAGCUCAUGGCUUAACUGUGGGUUUGCGGUGGGUACGGGCUGGCUUGAGUGCAGUAGGGGAGGCUGGAAUUCCUGGUGUAGCGGUGGAAUGCGCAGAUAUCAGGAGGAAUACCGGUGGCGAAGGCGGGUCUCUGGGCUGUUACUGACACUGAGGAGCGACAGCAUGGGGAGCGAACAGG
rnacentral:rRNA from 1 species